GAUGAAGUUCUUGUUAACGUUUCUAAUAUGCUUUUGGCUAGCCCCAAAUCCUCCAUUAGGAUCAUGUCAAACCGAUGCGCUUAUCAAACUUGAACUGGAAAAUAUCAGAGGGUUUGCUAAUAACAAUCCUGAGUUCACGGGGUGGCGUGACCGGCUUCUGGAUGCACUAAAACCGAUUUCCGAACAAUCGAAGAUGCAAACUCUGCAAGAUUUUCAACGGUGGAAUGUGCAGAGACUUGACUUGGAGAAGCAAAUAUUUCACAUUUGCGAAAAACUCCAAAAGUCAAUUAUGGGAAAAUGUCAUGAAACCUUUAGAAAACUACGUGAUGCAUGCGUUUGGAGUCUUACAAAAACAAACACCAAGAAAGCAGAUGUCAUAAACGUAAUUAAGAAAGCGAAAUGUCUCGGUAUGACACGAGGCAAAGAGAAGGACUAUGGUCUGGAUUUUUAAUUAGGCAUUGGCCUUUCACACCCGAUACACCAUAUGAAUUCUGAUGAUUUUUUGAAACUAUACAAUAUAUUUGAUAUGCGCAAUA